AUUGAACGCUGGCGGAAUGCUUUACACAUGCAAGUCGAACGGCAGCACGGGGGCAACCCUGGUGGCGAGUGGCGAACGGGUGAGUAAUGCAUCGGAACGUGCCCAGUCGUGGGGGAUAACGUAGCGAAAGUUACGCUAAUACCGCAUACGAUCUACGGAUGACGGCGGGGGACCGUAAGGCCUCGCCCGAUUGGAGCGGCCGAUGUCAGAUUAGGUAGUUGGUGAGGUAAAGGCUCACCAAGCCGACGAUCUGUAGCUGGUCUGAGAGGACGACCAGCCACACUGGGACUGAGACACGGCCCAGACUCCUACGGGAGACAGCAGUGGGGAAUUUUGGACAAUGGGCGCAAGCCUGAUCCAGCCAUUCCGCGUGCAGGACGAAGGCCUUCGGGUUGUAAACUGCUUUUGUACGGAACGAAAAGGCUCUGGUUAAUACCUGGGGCUCAUGACGGUACCGUAAGAAUAAGCACCGGCUAACUACGUGCCAGCCGCCGCCGUAA
rnacentral:rRNA from 1 species